CAGAAAAACCGGAUUGGGCUUUCAUGGAAGAGAAAAAAAGCCAGAUAGCAUUUUUGUUCGGUGAUGAUGAUCACUGGGGUCCAUUGCAUUUAGAUGAAGAGAUUCGCAAGCAGAUCCCUAACGCUCCUGUGGCAGCUGAACGCGAGGGUAAUACUCAUGCUUUCUCUUGCUAAGAUACUGGAUCAUUGUGGGUUGCUCAGCAUGUGGUGAGCUUGAUCAAGAAUUGUAUAUCAAAUUCAAAUUUAUGAAGGCUACAGAAAUAGUCCAAUGACAUCUGCACUAAGCAAUACUGGAAGGAUUACGAGAACUGGUUCACAAUUAUUCUGAAGGACUGUAUUUCUCUUUAUGGUAUGUUUGGUAAAGCGAACUAGACAUCAUCAGACAGUAUUAAACAAAGAAAAAAGCUCAAAUUUUAUCAAUUGUAUUAUCUAGUCGUGUCUUGUAUUGCAUGGCAUGACCUGAGUGUAGCUAGGAUUUAAAUUACCGUGCAGUUCUUUUUUUCCAA